rnacentral:misc_RNA from 1 species
UGAAACUAAAGAACGCUAAAACAAAUAAAAAACAUUAAGAACCCUAACCCAACCAUUGCCAACAAUUCAAAUAAACAAAAUCCUAUCUUUUACUCUGCUGUAAGCUCACUCCAAGUGAUAACCUUUCUCUUCCUCUGUGCACUGCACAACUCCAAUCUCACUUUUCCAUUUCUACCUUCCCUUUCAAAUCGAAUCUCCGUUUCCUCAACCUCCUCUACAUAUGCCACUCCUCUCUGAAACCUACGCUUGCAUUCCCACCAACCCUAAAUCUAAUUCCAUCCUCUUUACCAACAACCAAUCAAUCCUCAUCCUCAACCCUCAAUGACCCUCAUCAAACGCCCUAUGGAGCAGUUGCAUGCAAAUUAAGAUCCAAAAAAAGGGUAAAAAAGGAAAAAAGGGGAAAGUAGAAAUGCACAAAAUUCGAAAUGUGUUGAGUUAUAGCUCAGGGGGUAAAAGAUGUGAAUAAAGUAAAACUGUAAAAAGAAACGAGCACGUAGAGGGUUACGGAUUCCACCACCUUCAAAAACUAGCCUGAUUUUCAAUCAGGCCGGCGCCAAAAAUACUCUUGUUAACCCAACCACCGUGCACAAUCGUCGUCCUCCAACUAAUUGAUCGACGAGAGACAAUCGAAAUGAGUGGAGCUCGAUUGUGCUCCUUGCUCGCUGAAUUGGGAUACGAAGUUGCAGAGACAUUGGACCCUGACAGCUUCGAGUGGCCCUUCCAAUACGACGACGCACGCCCCAUCCUCGACUGGAUCUGCUCCAGCCUUCGCCCCUCCAACGUCCUCUCUCUCUCCGAACUCUCCCAGUAUGAGCAGUUUCUGCAAGAAGGGAGGCUACUGGAGGGGGAAGAUUUAGACUUUGCUUAUGAUAGCAUUUCAGCCUUUUCUUCCGGCAGAGACAAUCAGGAAGCAGUUUUUGGAGCUGAAGAAAGUUUAAAAGAUAUACGUGAUGCAACUCUGGCAUAUAAAGGUGAAGCUUUAGAAUUGCAGAGACAGCUUAGGCACCUGCAGUCUCAAUUUGAUAUGCUCACUGGCCAGGCGUCGGCUUUGAUUCAAGGGAGACGGGCUCGAGUUGCUGCAACAUCUACUGUCAAUGGAUACCUUACAUCAAUAGAUGAUAGUCUUUCAGCACGAAAUUUACGGAUGAAUGAAGUUCUUGGAAGGAUCACAUCUACGGCACAAGAGUUGGCUCACUAUCACUCUGGGGAUGAGGAUGGCAUUUACUUAGCUUACUCUGAUUUUCAUCCGUACUUGCUUGGAGAUUCAUCUUGUAUAAAGGAAAUAAACCAGUGGUUUUCUAAGCAACUGGACACGGGUCCUUUUCGACUUGUUGCUGAGGAGGGCAAAUCAAAGUGUUCGUGGGUGAGUCUUGAUGACAUCUCAAAUAUUUUAGUAAGAGAUUUAGAAAAAUCUCAUCACCAACGUGUGUCUGAGUUGCAAAGGCUUCGAUCCAUAUUUGGAACAAGUGAAAGACAAUGGGUUGAAGCUCAGGUUGAGAAUGCUAAGCAACAAGCUAUUCUCAUGGCACUUAAAUCUCAAAUAACUUCAGAUGAAGCUCACAUUCAUCUUGAUCUUCACACUCUUAGAAGAAGGCAUGCUGAACUGGUGGGGGAACUUUCAAAUCUUCAUCACAAAGAAGAGAAAUUAUUAUCUGAGGUUUGUGCAUGUAUUGAUUUCCUAGAUGAUUCCUGUUUCCAAUUGUUACACAAUUAUAUCCUAAAUUUUCUCUGAAACAGUUACAAAUCUGACCAAUACAAAGUCAUUUUGCGCUCAAUCUCUUUCACAAUCUUGAUUAUUUAUUAUAUAAUGGUCCAACUAGUAAGGUUGACACCACUAUUGGCCAUCUUUCCCAGUCUUACAUAGAGAUAGAUUGGGGUUAUUAACUUAUUUCUGAAAUACUUAACAUUGAAAAUCUUUUUUAUUAAUUAGAAAAAUGAAUGUUUCAAUUGUUUUAGGGCAAAUUAAACCGUAGUUCCCUAAUGAUUGAUGAUUAAUUUGAAUCCUUGAUCUAUCAACACAAACUAUUUACUUGUCUGAAACUUAUGAUUGUUAUAUGCACAUAAUUAACUACUAGUACCAAUUUGAUAAACUGUGAACAAUAAGAUAACCCAAUAAAGAGCCGAAUGGGAGUGACUGAAGUUGAAUGUAGUUCUUGGUGGCGGAUUGAAGAAUCAUGGCAAAUGUCCACUAAAACAAAGUUGGCCAAGAUUGAGGCAUUUGUAGCUGGUGGUUGUGGGGAUUAGAGAGAAUGCACAAUAAUAAGAAGGAUGGCUUUAGGCAUUGAUGGUUUUGGAGAUUAGGUGGAUUGUGAAUUUGCAAGUGUAAAGGUGGACACUUGGUAGUAGGGUGAAUAACCUUAAGGUUAAUUGAUUGUAGCUGGAUUGGCCAUGUUUAGAUGGCAUGAUAUGAACUUAGGAGAAGCACACCUUAAAAGCUAGCUAUUGAGGUUGGAGAGCCCAAGUCCAUAUAUACCUCACAUAGAAAUCCCAUCCUUUCAAUGUGGAACACAAGUUUUCUUGCAAUGGGAUUUUAACAUUCCACCACGCUCUAUAGUAGGGGUGAGCAGUUAUCGGUUCAAACAGAAAAACCGAACUGAACCGAAUCAAUUCGGU